UACGUAGGGUCCAAGCGUUAUCCGGAAUCACUGGGCGUAAAGCGUGCGUAGGUGGUUUGUUAAGUGUGAUGUUAAAUCGUGGGGCUCAACCCUAUCGAUGCAUCGCAUACUGGCAGACUAGAGGACAGCAGAGGCAAGUGGAAUUUGUAGUGUAGCAGUGAAAUGCGUAGAUAUUACAAGGAACACCAAUGGCGAAGGCAGCUUGCUGGGCUACUCCUGACACUGAGGUACGAAAGCGUGGGGAGCGAACAGG
rnacentral:rRNA from 1 species